rnacentral:misc_RNA from 1 species
CGCAAUCCAUAUUGUUUACAGCGUUCAUUGACACUUUUUACAAGUUCUUCAAGACGGGACUGUAUAUUCUCAGAUCUCUCCUUGAAAGUAUCAUCAGUAGUGCUUUCUUGUUCCAUUUUAACAAUUGCCCGAUAUAAUUCCAUUUUCUUCUCCUGAAUAUCACGAAACGUGGCCUCUUCAAUUGUUAAUUUAGAGGCUACAUCCCCAGUCUGCUUGUAUUUCUCCUCAUAUUUCUUGGCUAAUGCCUCAACCUCGCGUUUAUCAGCAGCCACUCUCUCUGUUACCUCAUUUAGUCGACUGUCACA